CAGUAGCCGCGGUAAUACGGAGGGGGCUAGCGUUGUUCGGAAUUACUGGGCGUAAAGCGCACGUAGGCGGAUCGAUCAGUCAGGGGUGAAAUCCCAGGGCUCAACCCUGGAACUGCCUUUGAUACUGUCGAUCUGGAGUAUGGAAGAGGUGAGUGGAAUUCCGAGUGUAGAGGUGAAAUUCGUAGAUAUUCGGAAGAACACCAGUGGCGAAGGCGGCUUACUGGCUCAUACUGGACGCUGAGGUGCGAAAGCGUGGGGAGCAAACAGGAUUAGAUACCCCCGUAGUCCCUGUCUCUUAUAC
rnacentral:rRNA from 1 species